rnacentral:rRNA from 1 species
CCCUUAGAUGUUCUGAAUCGCACGCGUGUUACACUGAUGCAUUCAACGAGCUUUACCUUGGCCGAGAGGCCUGGGAAAUCUUUUUAGCAUGCAUCGUGAUAGGGAUUGAUUAUUGCAAUUAUUAAUCAUGAACGAGGAAUUCCUAGUAAACGCAUUUCAUCAAAAUGCAUUGAUUACGUCCCUGCCCUUUGUACACACCGCCCGUCGCACCUACCGAUUGAGUGGUCCGGUGAAGUCUCGAGAUUGUGGCAAUCUCCUUUAUUGGAGUUUGACUGCGAGAACUUGCCUAAACCUUAUCACUUAGAGGAAGGUGAAGUCGUAACA